ACUGUAUUCACAAGGAGUAACCGAACAAAACGGUACUCUAAAAAGCAAACGACAAGAACAAAAGAGAAAAUGCAAGAAAGCGCGAGGUCUUUUUCGUUUCUUUUGCAUUUCUCGCCACUUGAUUUUCAAUUGGAAUAGCUGGUACCUCUGGGAUUUGUGAAAUUAAUAUAUUCUUUGCGGCUUUAAUUUUCAAGAAAACUAUUUCAAGACAAAAGGAGGGACGGCUACCACUUAACCGACCACAUAAAAGACCUUUGACUGGCCUUCACUAGGGCUAAGAACAAAAUUUACAAGGCUAAAAGUAUAGCAGAAAGGAUGAGAAAAGAAAAUAACGACCCGGAGUAAUUAUAGUAAU